rnacentral:lncRNA from 1 species
CAAAAAACAAGUAAUGAGUGAAUUGCCUCCAAAUAUUAGUUUCUACUUUUUAAAAAUUCUGAUGGGGUGGAGGGAGCAAGUGCCCCUGUGCACCUGUGGACAUCAGCCCCUGUGCACCUGUGGACAUCAGCCUCUGUGUACCUUAGACAUCAUCAGCCCCAGUGAACUUGUGGACAUCAGCCCCUGUGCACCUGUGGACAUCAGCCCCUGUGCACCUGUGGACAUCAGCCCCUGUGCACCUGUGCACAUCAGCCCCUGUGCACCUGUGGACAUCAGCCCUGUGCACCUGUGGAUAUCAGCCCCUGUGCACCUGUGGACAUCAGCCCCUAUGCACCUGUGCACAUCAGCCCCUGUGCACCUGUGGAUAUCAGCCCCUGUGCACCUGUAGACAUCAGCCCUGUGCACCUGUGGAUAUCAGGCCCUGUGCACUUGUGGAUAUCAGCCCUGUGCACCUAUGGACAUCAGCCCCUGUGUAGCUGUGGACAUCAGCCCCUGUGUACCUUAGACAUCAUCAGCCCCAGUGAACUUGUGGACAUCAGCCCCUGUGUACCUGUGGACAUCAGCCCCUGUGUACCUGUGG